GCCUGCUUUGAUACAUUAUAAGAAUAGGUGCCGAAAUGUAAGUGAAGGGAAAUAUGGGAAAACAAGGACCUGAAGUAAAAAUUUGAAGGCCAGCCAGCUGGUACCAAGAUCUACCUUGGUUGUGCAACUUUCGUGCAUGUAUCAUGGUGGCAAGAAAUAAACAUAGAAAUGAUUUCCAGAUAAAGAGGUAAGAUGCAGUCUAUGAUAAAGAGGACAAACUAU
rnacentral:lncRNA from 1 species